GGAAAAAUGCUUUCAAACUUAAUUUUUAAGUGUGGAAGCCAGUAAAAUACUGUAUUUUAAAAUCUAGUACCUAGAGCAAGCAGAAUUGGGUUUGAAACUUGGCUCUCCUGCCUACCAGUUUGUGAUCCCUAAAAACAUCAAUUAAUUAUCCCAGUUUGUGUCAUCUUUGAAAUGUGAUUGAUAAUGGUAGUUAUGCUUUGAACUUGUGAUGAAAAGUAAAGAAAUGGAUGUGAAAGAUAUUGGCAAAAAUUGUGUUGAUGCAGUGAACAAAUUUCUUUUAUGGGGUAAUUUGUGUGUUUCUAAGAAGUGACCAAAGCUAACCACUGGCAUGUUUAUAAUGAAAUCUUCUGGAUGAUGUUAACAUAAACCUGUAUCUGGUAGAAUAUCAUAUAUAUAUAUAUAUAUAUAUAUAUAUAUUAGAUUAUUUCUUUAUUUCUUUUAUGGUGCAGGUUUGACACCAGCAUUGGUCCCUUAGUGUACUCUGACCAGUACUUACAGAUCUCAACCCGUCUUCCAAGUGAUUAUAUUUAUGGUAUUGGAGAACAAGUUCAUAAGAGAUUUCGUCAUGAUUUAUCCUGGAAAACAUGGCCAAUUUUUACUCGAGACCAACUUCCUGGUGAUAAUAAUAAUAAUUUAUACGGCCAUCAAACAUUCUUUAUGUGUAUUGAAGAUACAUCUGGAAAGUCAUUCGGUGUUUUUUUAAUGAAUAGCAAUGCAAUGGGUAAGAAUAAUUCAUUUGAUAAUAUAUUUAUAGAUUUCACUUGAAAUGUUUUAACUGCUCUCUUUAUUUCAAUCAUUCAUAUUGUAUGUGAGAGUAAACUCUAUUAUAGUUAAUAUUAACAUGUGACAUUAUUAUAAGAAGAUUUUGAAAUUAAAGACAAAAUCAAUUUUUGCAUGCCAGCGCAUCUAUUUUGGGGAGAGUAUGCUAUGCUGUGGUAUUCAGGCACUCUAUUUUCCUUUCAAAGGAAUGUUGAAACACAUCCAUGCCAAUGGGUGUUUUCAUUCCCACAAUCUCAUUUGUCGAGAUAAGUAAACAUGCCACUACAAAUG
rnacentral:lncRNA from 10 species